GAUGAACGCUGGCGGCGUGCCUAAUACAUGCAAGUCGAGCGAACAGACGAGGAGCUUGCUCCUCUGACGUUAGCGGCGGACGGGUGAGUAACACGUGGAUAACCUACCUAUAAGACUGGGAUAACUUCGGGAAACCGGAGCUAAUACCGGAUAAUAUAUUGAACCGCAUGGUUCAAUAGUGAAAGACGGUUUUGCUGUCACUUAUAGAUGGAUCCGCGCCGCAUUAGCUAGUUGGUAAGGUAACGGCUUACCAAGGCAACGAUGCGUAGCCGACCUGAGAGGGUGAUCGGCCACACUGGAACUGAGACACGGUCCAGACUCCUACGGGAGGCAGCAGUAGGGAAUCUUCCGCCAUGGGCGAAAGCCUGACGGAGCAACGCCGCGUGAGUGAUGAAGGUCUUCGGAUCGUAAAACUCUGUUAUUGGGGAAGAACAAAUGUGUAAGUAACUCUGCACGUCUUGACGGUACCUAAUCAGAAAGCCACGGCUAACUACGUG
rnacentral:rRNA from 1 species